CAGUCCAGAAACCAGAUGAUUGUUGGGGCAUAGCUGAGGGCAUCCAGGUUUAUCUUCCCUUUGAAAUACUUUUUGACAUUCUGCAGGUAUAGUUUACAUGGGAGCAGCCCCUUUUCUCCUAUCAGCUGCUUGUUUUGAUGGUACGCCACCAGGAAGGCCACAAGGUACAGCAGCGCUACGGCGCGCAGCAGCACGAUGCGGGUGAGCCAGAAGGUACCCGGCGACAACAGCGGCCCAACCCCGCCGCCCGCCGACUCCGGGCCCUCCGCCCGCCCCGGAGUCUCGGGGGCGCCGCUGCCGCCCGCCGCCGCCGCCCGCCGCUGCCUCAGCGCCGCGCUGGGCGCCGCCAUGUC
rnacentral:lncRNA from 1 species